rnacentral:lncRNA from 1 species
GGGUUCCCCUUUUAUAGACGGAGGGGGCAACAGAUUGACGGUGACGCCUGUAACUGUCUGGUCGUGGGCCGCCCAGAGUCAGGAGGAAUUUAUUGCGGAGGGUAGUGGAGCGGGAUCGUGGCUAUCGCCGUGGCUCGCCACGUGGAAUCAGUUACGGGGAGUGGAGCGGCGUCCGCUGUCGUGACUCGUCAGGGAGUGGUGGAAUCGCACAGAAUCCACCGCAGGGAGUGGAGCAGAGUCGUGGCCGUUAAUACGGCCUGUCAGGGAGUAAUGGAGCUACGCAGGGUCCGCCGCAGGGAGUGGAGCAGAGUCAUGGC